AGUACGGCCGCAAGGCUGAAACUCAAAGGAAUUGACGGGGGCCCGCACAAGCGGUGGAGCAUGUGGUUUAAUUCGACGCAACGCGAAGAACCUUACCAGGUCUUGACAUCGCCUGACAGCUGUGGAAACGCAGUCUU
rnacentral:rRNA from 1 species